rnacentral:rRNA from 1 species
UCUGCUUCGGGUGAAGCUUUCAUUAAAUGAUGGUGGACGAAGCGGAAGUGAGAAUGUCGGCUUGAGUAACGAAAACAUUGGUGAGAAUCCAAUGCCCCGAAAACCUAAGGGUUCCUCCACAAGGUUCGUCCGUGGGGGGUGAGUCAGGACCUAAGGUGAGGCUGAAAGGCGUAAUCGAUGGCAAACAGGUUAAUAUUCCUGUACUGGUUUUGGUGGGGACCGAGGGACGAAGAAGGCUAAA